rnacentral:rRNA from 1 species
AUACGGAAGGUCCGGGCGUUAUCCGGAUUUAUUGGGUUUAAAGGGAGCGCAGGCGGAGAUGCAAGCGUGGCGUCAAAUUUCGGGGCUCAACCCCGUCUCGCGUCGCGAACUGCGUCCCUUGGUUGCGGGAAGGGGAGGCGGAACUCGUGGUGUAGCGGGGAAAUGCAUAGAUAGCACGGAGAACUCCGAUCGCGAAGGCAGCCUUCCGGCGCGUCAACGACGCUCAUGCUCGAAGGUGCGGGUAUCAAACAGGAGUAGAUACCCUGGUAGUCCGCACAGGAAACGAUGGACACCCGCGGUUUGGCCUGUAUGGCUGAGCCGCCAAGCGAAAGCGUUAAGUGUCCCACCUGGGGAGUACGCCGGCAACGGUGAAACUCAAAUGAAUUGACGGGG